ACGGCUCAGUAACACGUGGAUAACCUGCCCUUGGGACCGGCAUAACCCCGGGAAACUGGGGAUAAUUCCGGAUAACGCAUAUAUGCUGGAAUGCUUUAUGCGUGAAAUGGAUUCGUCUGCCCAAGGAUGGGUCUGCGGCCUAUCAGGUAGUAGUGGGUGUAAUGGACCUACUAGCCUACAACGGGUACGGGUUGUGAGAGCAAGAGCCCGGAGAUGGAUUCUGAGACAUGAAUCCAGGCCCUACGGGGCGCAGCAGGCGCGAAAACUUUACAAUGCGGGAAACCGUGAUAAGGGGACACCGAGUGCCAGCAUCAUAUGCUGGCUGUCCAGGUGUGUAAAAUACACCUGUUAGCAAGGGCCGGGCAAGACCGGUGCCAGCCGCCGCGGUAACACCGGCGGCCCGAGUGGUGAUCGUGAUUAUUGGGUCUAAAGGGUCCGUAGCCGGUUUGGUCAGUCCUCCGGGAAAUCUGACAGCUCAACUGUUAGGCUUUCGGGGGAUACUGCCAGACUUGGAACCGGGAGAGGUAAGAGGUACUACAGGGGUAGGAGUGAAAUCUUGUAAUCCCUGUGGGACCACCUGUGGCGAAGGCGUCUUACCAGAACGGGUUCGACGGUGAGGGACGAAAGCUGGGGGCACGAACCGGAUUAGAUACCCGGGUAGUCCCAGCCGUAAACGAUGCUCGCUAGGUGUCAGGCAUGGCGCGACCGUGUCUGGUGCCGCAGGGAAGCCGUGAAGCGAGCCACCUGGGAAGUACGGCCGCAAGGCUGAAACUUAAAGGAAUUGGCGGGGGAGCAC
rnacentral:rRNA from 1 species